rnacentral:rRNA from 1 species
GGUUCAUUCAAAUUUCUGCCCUAUCAACUUUCGAUGGUAGGAUAGCGGCUACCAUGGUUUAACGGGUAACGGAGAAUUAGGGUUCGAUUCCGGAGAGGGAGCCUGAGAAACGGCUACCACAUCCAAGGAAGGCAGCAGGCGCGCAAAUUACCCAAUCCUGACCAGGGAGGUAGUGACAAUAAAUAACAAUACAGGGCUCUUUGAGUCUUGUAAUUGGAAUGAGUACAAUUUAAAUCCCUUAACGAGGAACAAUUGGAGGGCAAGUCUGGUGCCAGCAGCCGCGGUAAUUCCAGCUCCAAUAGCGUAUAUUAAAGUUGUUGCAGUUAAAAAGCUCGUAGUUG